rnacentral:rRNA from 1 species
GACGGAAGGUGCAAGCGUUGUUCGGAAUUACUGGGCGUAAAGGGCUCGUAGGUGGCCAACUAAGUCAGACGUGAAAUCCCUCGGCUUAACCGGGGAACUGCGUCUGAUACUGGAUGGCUUGAGUUUGGGAGAGGGACGCGGAAUUCCAGGUGUAGCGGUGAAAUGCGUAGAUAUCUGGAGGAACACCGGUGGCGAAGGCGGCGUCCUGGACCAACACUGACACUGAUGAGCGAAAGCCAGGGGAGCAAACGGG